rnacentral:lncRNA from 1 species
CAGCUUUUAAUUUUAUAAACUUGGAAGUAUUUCUUCAGAAAUCUUAUCUUGAUCAGUAGGAGUUUUCUUCUCGGAAGUUUUGAAAUAAACAGACGUGCAGAAAUACAUAAACUAAAACAGCAGGUUAAAUUUUAACUGAGGGUUAGCAUUAAUCCAUCCAGCUUUGAACAACCGGCCCCUGAACCGUGACCAAAACUCGAUGAGCACUCCCCCCCCCCAGGGGCGAGGCUAGAAGAGAAUGUGGGGAGGUGGAAGCCCCCCCCCCCCAGUUGUCAGAUAGUCGGCACACUAUUGUGUCCCAGUCGGCAAAUUGUUUUCCCAGUCGGCAAAACCUGAAUUAGAUAAGAAGGAAAAAUCUAAAAUAUAGGAGUGAAACUUUCAAUAAACUGAUUAAAAACUAAGAAUUAUAGCUAAACUGUGGGGAAAUUUUUGGUGUUUAGGCGACACCCCUUCAUAAUUUUGGGGAAAAUUGUUAAUUAGCGGACAUUUUUGUUAUUAAUAUGCAUUGGAAAUGAUUUGGCAAAUUAUCACUUACACCUCCCCCCCACCCCAUUAAAGUAGGCCUAGCGCCGCCAUUGACCUCCACCCCCACCAUAUCUGGCUGGAUACUAACACAGAACAAGUUUGCAUCCUGAGUUUUGGCAAAUUUUCAUGACUAAUUUGUUAUUUUCUUAUUUUUGCUUUUUAAAGUGGGACGAAAAUCAAUGCAAGUGUGUCUGUGGUGUAGAUAGAACCGCGAGUGCACGCAGUUGCUACUUUGACGCUCGCGCCAAAGGUAUUUUUAAAAAAUGGAACCAUGACAAAUGUGCCUGUCU